rnacentral:rRNA from 1 species
UACGUAGGGUGCAAGCGUUGUCCGGAAUUAUUGGGCGUAAAGAGCUCGUAGGCGGCUUGUCGCGUCGGCUGUGAAAACCUGGGGCUCAACCCCGGGCCUGCAGCCGAUACGGGCAGCGUAGAGUUCGGUAGGGGAGACUGGAAUUCCUGGUGUAGCGGUGAAAUGCGCAGAUAUCAGGAGGAACACCGGUGGCGAAGGCGGGUCUCUGGGCCGAAACUGACGCUGAGGAGCGAAAGCGUGGGGAGCGAACAGG